GGAGAGGUGGCUGAGAGGACUAAAGCGGCGGUUUGCUAAUCCGUUGUACGGAUAAUCCCGUAUCGAGGGUUCGAAUCCCUCUCUCUCCU
rnacentral:tRNA from 1 species